rnacentral:piRNA from 1 species
UUAAAUUCCUCUCUUGCCAAC